GUAAAGGCCUCGUAGCAUCCCUAUGCAAUCACACCUCGGAAGUGUGGUAUUGUGCCUGAUCAGCACAAGCGUGGUUGGGUCUAAAGUUCUUUUGAGCUUUUACGCGACUUGUGGGUAAAGAUGUGCGACCUCUGCAGAGUGUAAAACUGAUCGAUCAGCCGUGCUCACGGUUAAGAGCGGCCUGGACCCUCACAUGAGUAAUAUACUUGAAGAUGGAUUUAAAUUGUGGUUUAUGCUAUGGUUAUGGUUGUGCCAUAUGCUUAUGGCUUAUGUUUAUAUUUCUAUUAAUUGUGGGUUGGUAUAUACUUAUACCUUAGUAAUCAGGUGCUAAUAAAAUUUGACCAACUAAAAAUGCUUAAUGCAGUCAACCGGUCAGCCUUUCCUUGUUUAACCCUUGCAUUCAUAUUCUCCUCACACUUGCUGAGUACGAC
rnacentral:lncRNA from 1 species